rnacentral:rRNA from 1 species
UGCGUAGGCGGUAGAAUAAGUCAGUGGUGAAAUCCUGCAGCUUAACUGUAGAACUGCCAUUGAUACUGUUUUACUUGAGUGUAAUUGAGGUAGGCGGAAUGUGUUGUGUAGCGGUGAAAUGCAUAGAUAUAACACAGAACACCGAUUGCGAAGGCAGCUUACUAAGUUAUAACUGACGCUGAUGCACGAAAGCGUGGGUAGCGAACAGGAUUAGAUACCCUGGUAGUCC